UACGAAGGGGGCUAGCGUUGCUCGGAAUCACUGGGCGUAAAGCGCACGUAGGCGGCUUCUUAAGUCAGGGGUGAAAUCCUGGAGCUCAACUCCAGAACUGCCUUUGAUACUGAGAAGCUUGAGUUCGGGAGAGGUGAGUGGAACUGCGAGUGUAGAGGUGAAAUUCGUAGAUAUUCGCAAGAACACCAGUGGCGAAGGCGGCUCACUGGCCCGAUACUGACGCUGAGGUGCGAAAGCGUGGGGAGCAAACAGG
rnacentral:rRNA from 1 species